GACGAACGCUGGCGGCGUGCCUAAUACAUGCAAGUAGAACGCUGAAGAGAGGAGCUUGCUCUUCUUGGAUGAGUUGCGAACGGGUGAGUAACGCGUAGGUAACCUGCCUGGUAGCGGGGGAUAACUAUUGGAAACGAUAGCUAAUACCGCAUAAAAUUGAUUAUUGCAUGAUAAUUAAUUGAAAGAUGCAACUGCAUCACUACCAGAUGGACCUGCGUUGUAUUAGCUAGUUGGUGAGGUAACGGCUCACCAAGGCGACGAUACAUAGCCGACCUGAGAGGGUGAUCGGCCACACUGGGACGGAGAAACGGCCAAGACUCCUACGGGAGGCAGCAGUAGGGAAUCUUCGGCAAUGGGGGGAACCCUGACCGAGCAACGCAGCGUGAGUGAAGAAGGUUUUCGGAUCGUAAAGCUCUGUUGUAAGAGAAGAACGGGUGUGAGAGUGGAAAGUUCACACUGUGACGGUAUCUUACCAGAAAGGGACGGCUAACUACGUG
rnacentral:rRNA from 1 species